UUUUUUCUUGGAAUAUUAUAGUGUUAAAAUAAGGCUAUAUUUGAAUGUAUAGUAGAAAAUCUUCACAAAAUUUAUAAAUAGUAGUUUUUAUCUAGAUGAAAUAAAAAAUUCUUUAACUUUAAAAAAUUUCACGAAUUUAAUUUUUAAACUGUUUGGCAGCGCAUUGUGUAAUUUCACGUGAUUUCUCUAAAGACGUAUUAUUAAGGAAUUCUAAUUCGUCGUUAUGUAUUAUUUUUAACUCUAUUCAAAAUUUAUAUUUUUCAAAAAUUUAAAUAAACAAAUAUUUUAUAAAUUAUUUAAUAUAAGAUAAAAUCAAUAUAUAAUGGGGAAUCGAAGGCUCAUGAGUAGGGAUGUUAGCGGGUCAGAUUCGGGACGAAUUUUUAAAAUGCCGAAUCCAAACCCGACUAUCAAAUCCGAAACCCGAAUUCGAAUCCGAACACGACGGAUUUUAAAAUUCCAUAUAUAAAUCCGAGCCCAAGAACGAACACGAAAAUUCGAACUCGAAGCAAUUAUUUUCUUUUACAAUAUUUCAAAAUAUAUUACAUUAAAUAUAAAUUUUUAAAAUACAACUUUAAAUAUAAUAUCAAAUAUUUAUAUAUAUAAUGUAAAAUAAUUUUGGGCUUGGAUCGGGUUUGAAUCGUGUCGGGUACAAUCAAAAUUCAUAUCCGAAUCCAAAUCUGUCAGAUUUUUGGCUUUGAUAGCCAUACUCGAAACUAUAUUCAUUUGAUAUCAGAUAAAUUUAUAUCAUUCGAGUUCAAAUUCAAAUAGAAUUUUGAAUAUCCAUAUUCAUCAACAUCUCUAGUAAUAAGACGUCACUGGUUGGAAUGCUCCUACUUAGGAAUGUCAACCAGUCGAAUUUGAGGCGGAUUUUCAAAAUUUUGAAUCUGAACCCGACUCCAAAUCUAAAAUCCGAACCCGAACCCAAAUCCGACGAAUCUUAAAAAUCCAUAUCCAAACCCAAAUCCGACCAAAAAUCGAAAAUCCGAACCCAAAAAUCCAAACCCGAAAUAAUUAUUUCUAUUUUCAACAUUUUAAAAUAUAUUACAUUAAAUCUAAAUUUUUAAAAUGCAUAUUCAAAUACAACGUCAAAUUUUAUAUACAUAUUAUAUAUAAUGUAAAAUAAAUUCGGGUUCAAAUUCAGAAUAGGUACCGUCAAAAUCUAUAUCCGAAUUUAUAUUCGUUAGAUUUUUGUCUUUAAUAUUUAUAUUUUAAACUAUAUCAGUUUAGCAUCGAAUAAAGUUAUUCCGUUCAUAUUCGAAUUCUGAUAAAAUUUCGGAUAUCCGUACAGAUCAAAAUCCUUACACCCACUUGCUAAAGUUUUAUCCUACGGGCAAGAAUUUAAAUACGGUGGCACGGGAUCAUGCCGAAAACUUACCGACAUGAUUUCUUAUGUGCUGACACAUAAUAACAUGAAACAUUUAUUUUUUUUAGCAACAAAAUAUUCUAACUAUUUAUUAUGUCUUUUUAUCAUAUUUUUUAAAUUUUAUUAAAAAAUUAUUUAUUAAUAUAAAAAAUAAAAAUUUUAAAAUAUGUCAUCGAUAUGAAAUUUGUAUA
rnacentral:lncRNA from 1 species